AUUUUUAGAGUAUGAUGGUUCAAAUAUAGGGAAGGGAGUACGAAAUUAUUUGUGAAUGAGGGUUAAACUGGAUCUGAAACGACCUCUAAGGAGAAAAAAGAAGGUUCUACUUUCGAUAGGAAUUUGCUCUUAUGUCAGUUUUAAAUAUGAACGAUCUGUUUUGUUUCUUUUGUGGACAGUUAGGGCAUAAUGAUGUUUUUUGUCAUUCUAAGAUGGAGUUAGGAUUUGAAGUUGCUAAGAUGGGAUGGAAUUUGUCACUACAAGCUCAAUCUAGAAAAGCUCUCGCAAUAAAUAGUAUGUGGCUACGUGAUGAUGGGGGAGGAAUUUAAAGGUGGAGUUCUAUUGAAGGGCAUGACUUGGGGAGAUGCAAUUGAGAGGUUACAGAUAGAGGUUGUUCUAGGAAUUUUGUUGACCCAUUCUGGGGGUUAAUUUGGAGGAGAAUUUGAAUUGGGUUUUUGAUGUGGAGGUAGGGUAUUCAAAAAUGCAUGAACAGACAUAUAUGGAGCAUGAUGGCCAGGACUAUGCAAUUGAAGGGGCAGAUGUAAAAAAGAGGCCUAGAAUGGAGAAUGAUAGAUCUCUGGUGGGGGAGGAGAUAGGCUCUCUAGUUUUUAGAAACAAGAGAGGGUUGGAAAAAAACCUUUUGUUAUAGGUGACUGCCAAGGGGCAAGCCUACCGGUCGCAAUGAAAAUAAUAAGCUGGAAUGUCCAUGGAUUGAGGAGUCCACGGGCUAUUAGAAGAUUACGGCAUUUGCUGAAGAUGUAUAAUCCCCAAAUGGUCUUCUUUAUGGAGACUAAGAUUGAUAGGAUGCGAAUGGAGGGUGUAAGAAGGAAAUGCGAAUUUUUAGUGGGAUUGAUAUUGCAUUGAUCGGUUCAAGGGGUGGAUUAUGUCUGGCAUGGAAGGAAGAUAUUGCAGUUAGUCUAAAAAGUUGUUCUAACUCUCAUAUUGUUGUUGAAAUUCAAUGGAGUGAUAGUGAAAAAUUUUGGAGGUUUACUGGAGUUUAUGGCUCGCCAUAUGCGCAUAGUAGAGAAGUUUCGUGGAAUUUGCUGAAGAAUUUAAGUCAGUCAUAGGGUUUACCUUCAUGGAAUUUGCUAAGGAAUUUAAGUCAGUCAUAGGGUUUACCAUGGAUGGUAUGUGGCAAUUUUAAUGAAAUUUUGUAUUCUUUUGAGAAGGUAGGAGGGGUACCAAAGGACGAAAGGAGAAUAGCAGCUUUUACAGAUGCUUCAAUGGAUUGCCAGUUAUUGGAUGUGGGGUAUAUGGGAACGUGGUUUACUUGGGAAAGAGGAAAUCUUCCAAAGACUAACAUUUGUGAAAGAUUGGAUAGAAUAGUAGCAAAUAUGGAGUGGCUUAAUUUGUUUUCGUUUGCAUUGAUUCAACAUCUGCUGCAUUCUUUUUCAAAUCAUUGUUCCUUUCUUAUUCAAAUAGAAAUAAGAAUGAAUAACUUGUCUAGAAGGAAAGCCCGUUUUGAGUCACGGUGGGUAAAGGAGAAUUCUUUCGAGAAAUAGGUUAGAAGCUUAUGGAGGUCCACCAGAGGCGACAUUCUGCAAAAAUUGAACAAGUUACAACAGGGUUUGGUAAGAUGGGCAACCUCAAUUAGACACAGAAGAGCAAGUCGUAAGAAGGAGUUGAUAACAAAUUUAGAGAUUCUGAUGGGUAGAAAAAGAACUAAUGAGAACUUAGUAGAAUUAAUUGAUGCGAAAAUUCAUCUAAAUCUCGUGAUUGAUAAGGAAGAGAUGUACUAAGAGCAAAGGGCCCGAGCUAACUAGUAGAAAUUGGGAGACAAAAAAACAACUUUCUUUCAUAGUUAUGCCUCGCAAAGGAAAAGAAUGAAUACUAUUCGAAACGAAUAUGGGAGAGACAAGUGGUGUGGGGGAUAUGGAGAAUAUUACUCAAUUAUUUUCAAAACCUUUUCUCAUCAAAAGGGUGUGGAAACUUUCAUCACAUCCUUUCAGGAAUUGAGAGAUGCAUCUCAGAAGAGGUAAAUUCGAAGCUAAUUGCUAAAUUCACGAAGAAGGAAGUUGUGAUGGCACUAAAAGAAAUGGGUCCUACAAAGGCUUCCGGGGACGAUGGAUUUUCAUAUUUGUUUUUCCACCAGUUUUGGUAUAUUGUUGGAACAGACAUUGUUGACUUUUGUUUGAGAAUCUUGAAUGAAGGUAUGGUUCUGGAUUCUAUUAAUGUUACGAAUAUUGUGUUAAUCCCUAAAGUUUCCCAUUCGAAAAACCUUGGUAAUUUUAGACCAAUUAGUCUAUGUAAUGUUUUGUAUCAAUUGAUAGUGAAAAUGAUUGUUAACCAUUAAAAACACAUAUUGGAGGACUGCAUUGAUAGCGCUCAAAGCGCCUUUGUAACGGGUAGACUUAUUUCGGAUAAUGUUCUUCUUGCUUAUGAGAUCUUGCAUACAUUUCAGACAAAAGAGAUUAUGGAAGAAAGGGUUUAUGGCACUAAAGCUGGACAUGAGUAAGGCUUAUGAUAGAGUUAAAUGGUCUUUUCUUAAGGCAAUGAUGCUACGAAUGGGGUUUCAUAUUUCUGGGUAGAGAUUAUAAUGAAAUGCAUCUCGACUGUCUCUUAUUCUAUUAUUGUGAACAAAAAAGAAAGGACAAUUUUUAAACCAAUGAGGGGUCAUCGACAAGGUAAUCCUCUUAGUCUUUUUUUAUUUGAUGUGCAGUGAGGAUCUCUCGUCGCUUAUGAGACUGGCUUUGAGGGAAGGUUUGAUAAAAGGUGUAAAAGUUAGUAGAAGCAAUCCUCCGAUUUUACAUUUAUUAUUUGCUGAUGAUUGUAUUUUGUUUAGUGAAGUGGGAAGGGGUGCAAAAAUUUUAAAUUCAAUUUUGAGGGAAUACAAGGGUUGUUCUAGGUAAUGUGUGAAUUAUGAAAAAUCCACUAUCUUUUAUAAUACAAAUACUCCUGAAAGGACCCAAUGUGUUGUUUAUGACAUUCUUGGGGUUAAGCAUUCAAAUAAUAUGGAGCGAUAUCUUGGCUUGCCAAACAUGGUGGGGAAAAAUAAGAAAGCUUCUUUUCAAAUUUUAAAAGAUCGCAUGAGGCAAAGAAUUGAUAAUUGGAGUGUCAAAGAGAUUUCUUUCGUAAAGGGGAAAGGAAGUCUUUAUAAAGACAGUUUUGCAAGCCAUUCCGGCUUAUUCUAUGGCAUGUUUCUUCCUUCCAAAAUCUUUUUGUGGUGAUUUAGAGAGUAUAAUGGCUCGAUUUUGGUGGCAAAAAGGUAAUGAAAGAAGAAUGAUUCAUUGGUGUGGUUGGGAUCGACUUCGUAAAUUAAAGGAGAAUAGGGGAUUGGGAUUUCGUAGUUUGACCAAGUUUAAUGUUGUAUUAUUAGCUAAAUAGGGGUGACGUAUUAUUAAUCAUCCAAAUUCAUUAUUAUUGCGAGUUCUAAAAGCUAAGUAUUUUCCAAAUAUUUACUUUUUAAAUGUUGAGUUACGGAAUCUACCUUCAUUUACCUGAAAGAGUGUGUGGGCUGCUUAGGGCUUGCUGAAGAGCGGUUUAUGUUGGAGGGUAGGAAUUGAGGAGAAAAAAUCAAUUAUGGCUGAUGCUUGGCUUCUAGGGACUGUAAACAAUAAAGUGUCAACAAACAUUUAUAGCGGUGAGGUCAGUUUGGUUUCGAACUUAAUUAAUACACAGCUAUGAGAAUGGAAAAAUAAGUUUAUUAAUUCUUAGAAUUUUGAAAAUCCCCUUAGCUGUAGAAGCUCAUGAUGAUUUGAUGGUUUGAUAAAGGGAACCUUCAGGGGAAUUUUCUAUGCGGAGUGUUUAUAAAUUAUUACAUGAAAGUAAUAUUGAACCUAAUUAUUUAAAGACCAAGAUGAAAAUUUUUUACAAAAAAACUAUGGAUCAGUAAUAUUCCAGCCAAAAUUAAGAUUUACAUUUGGAAAAUUUCCUGGAAUUUCAUUCCUAAUCUAGCUAUUUUAUCCACAAAAAGAAUGGCGAUGGAGACUGCGUACCUAAGAUGUGUAGGGGCUACUGAAAAUGUUGAUCACCUUUUGCGAGGCUGUCCUAUUACACGAGAAGUCUAGGUAAGUUUAAAUCUUGAUUGGGUAUUAACAGGAAUAAAUAUGAAUUGCUAGGAAUGGCUUAGCUGGGUGUUUAAAAGCUAUACUGGGUCGCAAUGUUGUUUAUUCUGCUGCUCCUUGUGGGAGAUCUGGACUAACAGAAAUAAGUGGUUAUUUGAGGGGAAGAGAAAUAGGGGUUGUGAUAUUACUGCAUGGGUCUUAAGGUAUGCUAAGAAAAUAGACGAGUGUGAGACUAGUAAAUUGACCAAGGAAACCGUGACUAUGGAAUGGUGCCCUCGAAUAGGUCCGAUAUUAAAUUGAAUUUUGACACGGCAUUUGACUAGGCACAGGCUAAAUCGGCUUCAGGGUUAGUUGCAAGAAAUGCUUCUAGAGAGAUUCUCGCCUCUAAAACUGUGGUACACAGGGCUAUUGCUUCUCCUUUCGCAGUAGAGGCACAUGCGUGUCUCCAAAUAGUUUUAUUGGGGAAAUAAAAGGGAUUUACAUUAGAUCGAAGGGGAUUCAGCUUCAGUUAUAAAGAGAAGUAAGUCAGAUCUGGUAGAUAGAUCGAUGAUAAGGGCUUUAAUAAGGAACUUACAAUGUUAAAAACUAUUCUUCCAUCAGAUAUUAUUUAAACACAUUCCUAGAUCAGCAAAUAUAAUGGCUCAUGAACUAGCCAGAGAAGCGAUGAGAAAUGGGUCACGGACUUACCUUCUCGGAGGACUGCUUGAGCAAAAUGCAACAGAAGAUGGAUCGUGCAGAAGGAGAGAACCAGAUUGAAGAUUGACUGAUGAAGGCGUUUGGGUUUUGGGAAGAGAUAAAUGAAGUAAAUGAUGGUCUACUGGUUUUUGGAAACUACUUCUUGGGGACUGGAACCGUCAAUAAUAAUAAUGAUGACAUUUAUUGGGUGCCAGCUGUGAAUCAGACUGUGGUGUUUUCUUUAUUUUGUUUUGUUUUACUUCUGUUUUUGUUUUUUUUGGUAGGCUUAGUUCAAAGCCCGA
rnacentral:lncRNA from 1 species